rnacentral:misc_RNA from 1 species
GAAAUGCGAUAAGUAGUGUGAAUUGCAGAAUUCAGUGAAUCAUCGAAUCUUUGAACGCACAUUGCGCCCUUUGGUAUUCCAAAGGGCAUGCCUGUUCGAGCGUCAUUUGUACCCUCAAGCUUUGCUUGGUGUUGGGCGUCUUGUCUCUAGAUUUGCUGGAGACUCCCUUAAAGUAAUUGGCAGCCGGCCUACUGGUUUCGGAGCGCAGCACAAGUCGCACUCUCUAUCAGCAAAGGUCUAGCAUCCAUUAAGCCUUUUUUCAACUUUUGACCUCGGAUCAGGUAGGGAUACCCGCUGAACUUAAGC